rnacentral:rRNA from 1 species
AAGCGUAAUAGCUCACUAGUCGAGUCGGCCUGCGCGGAAGAUGUAACGGGGCUAAACGUAGAACCGAAGCUGCGGACGCAUUUAUGCGUGGUAGAGGAGCGUUCUGUACGCCUGCGAAGGUGAGUCGAGAGGCUUGCUGGAGGUAUCAGAAGUGCGAAUGCUGACAUGAGUAACGACAAAGGGGGUGAAAAACCCCCUCGCCGGAAGACCAAGGUUUCCUGCCCCAUGCUAAUCAGGGCAGGGUUAGUCGGCCCCUAAGGUGAGGCUGAAAAGCGUAAUCGAUGGGAAACGGGUUAAUAUUCCCGUACUUGUUGUAACUGCGAUGGAGGGACGGAGUAGGCUAGGCGAGCGCAGCGUUGGUUGUCUGCGUUUAAGCUAGUAGGCUGAGAUCUUAGGCAAAUCCGGGAUCUUAAGGCUGAGAGGUGAUGACGAGUCCUCUUUUGGACGAAGUCGUUGAUGCCAUGCUUCCAAGAAAAUCUUCUAAGCUUCAGGUUACAACAAACCGUACCCCAAACCGACACAGGUGGUCAGGUAGAGAAUACCAAGGCGCUUGAGAGAACUCGGGUGAAGGAACUAGGCAAAAUGGCACCGUAACUUCGGGAGAAGGUGCGCCGCUGACGGUGAUGGGACUUGCUCCCUAAGCUAUUGGCGGUCGAAGAUACCAGGUGGCUGCGACUGUUUAUUAAAAACACAGCACUCUGCAAACACGUAAGUGGAAGUAUAGGGUGUGACGCCUGCCCGGUGCCGGAAGGUUAAUUGAUGGGGUUAGCUUCGGCGAAGCUCUUGAUCGAAGCCCCGGUAAACGGCGGCCGUAACUAUAACGGUCCUAAGGUAGCGAAAUUCCUUGUCGGGUAAGUUCCGACCUGCACGAAUGGCGUAACGACGGGGGCGCUGUCUCCACCAUAGACUCAGUGAAAUCGAAAUCGCGGUGAAGAUGCCGUGUUCCCGCGGCUAGACGGAAAGACCCCGUGAACCUUUACUAUAGCUUGGCACUGAACUUUGAAUCUAUCUGUGUAGGAUAGGUGGGAGGCUUUGAAGCGUUAUCGCUAGAUAGCGUGGAGCCAUCCUUGAAAUACCACCCUGGUAUAUUUGAGGUUCUAACUCUGACCCAUUAUCUGGGUCGAGGACAGUGUCUGGUGGGUAGUUUGACUGGGGCGGUCUCCUCCCAAAGAGUAACGGAGGAGCACGAAGGUUGGCUAAGUACGGUCGGACAUCGUACGGUUAGUGUAAUGGUAGAAGCCAGCUUAACUGCGAGACAGACACGUCGAGCAGGUACGAAAGUAGGUCAUAGUGAUC